AUCGAACGCUGGCGGCAGGCCUAACACAUGCAAGUCGAGCGAGCGGCGGACGGGUGAGUAAUGUCUGGGAAACUGCCUGAUGGCGGGGGAUAAGUACUGGAAACGGUAGCUAAUCACGCAUACCAUCAGAUGUGCCCAGAUGGGAUUAGCUGGUGGGGGGGGUAACGGCCCACCUAGGCGACGAUCCGUAGCUGGACGGCGAGGGUGACCAGCCACACUGGAACUGAGACACGGCCCAGACUCCUACGGGAGGCAGCAGUGGGGAAUAUUGCACAAUGGGCGAAAGCCUGAUGCAGCAAUGCCGCGUGUGUGAAGAAGGCCUUCGGAUUGUAAAGCACUUUCGGCGGAGAGGCGUUACCCAAAGAGGAAGCACCGGCUAACUCCGUGCCAGCCGCCGCGGUAAUUC
rnacentral:rRNA from 1 species